CUGGCCGUAAACGAUGGGUACUAGGUGUAGGAGGUAUCGACCCCUUCUGUGCCGGAGUUAACGCAAUAAGUAUCCCGCCUGGGGAGUACGGCCGCAAGGCUGAAACUCAAAGGAAUUGACGGGGGCCCGCACAAGCGGUGGAGUAUGUGGUUUAAUUCGACGCAACGCGAAGAACCUUACCAAGCCUUGACAUUGAUUGAUCGAGGCAGAGAUGCCUUUUUCCUCUUCGGAGGACAAGAAAACAGGUGG
rnacentral:rRNA from 1 species